AUUGAACGCUGGCGGCAGGCCUAACACAUGCAAGUCGAACGGUAACAGGAAACAGCUUGCUGUUUCGCUGACGAGUGGCGGACGGGUGAGUAAUGUCUGGGAAACUGCCCGAUGGAGGGGGAUAACUACUGGAAACGGUAGCUAAUACCGCAUAACGUCGCAAGACCAAAGAGGGGGACCUUCGGGCCUCUUGCCAUCGGAUGUGCCCAGAUGGGAUUAGCUAGUAGGUGGGGUAACGGCUCACCUAGGCGACGAUCCCUAGCUGGUCUGAGAGGAUGACCAGCCACACUGGAACUGAGACACGGUCCAGACUCCUACGGGAGGCAGCAGUGGGGAAUAUUGCACAAUGGGCGCAAGCCUGAUGCAGCCAUGCCGCGUGUAUGAAGAAGGCCUUCGGGUUGUAAAGUACUUUCAGCGGGGAGGAAGGGAGUAAAGUUAAUACCUUUGCUCAUUGACGUUACCCGCAGAAGAAGCACCGGCUAACUCCGUGCCAGCAGCCGCGGUAA
rnacentral:rRNA from 1 species